CAGUAGCCGCGGGAAUACGUAGGGCGCAAGCGUUGUCCGGAAUUAUUGGGCGUAAAGAGCUCGUAGGCGGUCUGUCGCGUCUGGUGUGAAAUCCCGAGGCUCAACCUCGGGCUUGCAUCGGGUACGGGCAGACUAGAGUGCGGUAGGGGAGACUGGAAUUCCUGGUGUAGCGGUGGAAUGCGCAGAUAUCAGGAGGAACACCGAUGGCGAAGGCAGGUCUCUGGGCCGCAACUGACGCUGAGGAGCGAAAGCAUGGGGAGCGAACAGGAUUAGAUACCCCCGUAGUCCCUGUCUCUUAUAA
rnacentral:rRNA from 1 species